AUGGGAAGCAACAACCCCGGCGGCGCAGGCGGAGGGAUGGCUCCGGGCAUGGGAGCGGGCAGCAGCGACGGGCGGCACGAUGACGAGGCCGUACUCACUGAGUUCCUCUCCUCCCUCAUGGACUACAACCCCAUGAUUCCGGACGAGCUCGUGGAGCACUACCUCGGCCGCAGCGGCUUCCACUGCCCUGACCUACGCCUUACAAGGUUGGUUGCUAUAGCUACUCAAAAGUUCAUUUCAGACGUCGCAAGUGACUCCCUUCAGCAUUGCAAAGCCAGGGUUGCAGCACCUAUCAAAGACAACAAGAGCAAACAACCGAAGGAUAGACGUCUUGUAUUGACAAUGGAUGAUCUUUCAAAAGCCCUGCGUGAGCAUGGUGUUAACCUGAAACAUCCGGAGUAUUUUGCGGACAGCCCAUCAGCAGGGAUGGGCCCUUCAACAAGAGAGGAAUAG
rnacentral:rRNA from 1 species